GACGAACGCUGGCGGCGUGCUUAACACAUGCAAGUCGAGCGGUAAGGCCCUUUCGGGGGUACACGAGCGGCGAACGGGUGAGUAACACGUGGGUGACCUGCCCUCAGCUCUGGGAUAAGCCUGGGAAACCGGGUCUAAUACUGGAUAUGACUCCAUGACGCAUGUUGUGGGGUGGAAAGCCUUGUGCGGCUGAGGAUGGGCCCGCGGCCUAUCAGCUUGUUGGUGGGGUGAUGGCCUACCAAGGCGACGACGGGUAGCCGGCCUGAGAGGGCGACCGGCCACACUGGGACUGAGACACGGCCCAGACUCCUACGGGAAGCAGCAGUGGGGAAUUGUUCGCAAUGGGCGCAAGCCUGACGACGCAACGCCGCGUGGAGGAUGAAGGUCUUCGGAUUGUAAACUCCUGUUGCUCGGGACGAAAUGCUCCAGCCUAACACGUUGGAGUUUGACGGUACCGGGUGAGGAAGCCCCGGCUAACUCUGUGCCAGCCGCCGCCGUAAU
rnacentral:rRNA from 1 species